UCACUCUGGCUUCUCUUCAACGUAUGAUUCUUUCGCCUUUUACUAAAGAAUUCCGUGGAGAGGAGCAGUUCAAUGAGUCUUGAACAUUUUUCGAUAUCCGACUUUGG
rnacentral:snRNA from 1 species